rnacentral:rRNA from 1 species
GGGUUGUGAGGUUAAGCGACUAAGCGUACACGGUGGAUGCCCUGGCAGUCAGAGGCGAUGAAGGGCGUGCUAAUCUGCGAUAAGCGCCGGUAAGGUGAUAUGAACCGUUAUAACCGGCGAUACCCGAAUGGGGAAACCCAGUGUGACUCGUCACACUAUCAUUAACUGAAUCCAUAGGUUAAUGAGGCGAACCGGGGGAACUGAAACAUCUAAGUACCCCGAGGAAAAGAAAUCAACCGAGAUUCCCCCAGUAGCGGCGAGCGAACGGGGAGGAGCCCAGAGCCUGAAUCAGCAUGUGUGUUAGUGGAAGCGUCUGGAAAGGCGCGCGAUACAGGGUGACAGCCCCGUACACAAAAGCGCAUGUGCUGUGAGCUCGAUGAGUAGGGCGGGACACGUGGUAUCCUGUCUGAAUAUGGGGGGACCAUCCUCCAAGGCUAAAUACUCCUGACUGACCGAUAGUGAACCAGUACCGUGAGGGAAAGGCGAAAAGAACCCCGGCGAGGGGAGUGAAAAAGAACCUGAAACCGUGUACGUACAAGCAGUGGGAGCCCCACCACCAAAGCAUUCUCUGGUGUUGAAGGCCCUGCAAAGCAGCAUCGCGGUGGCGGAGCGUCGUUUGCGACGCCCAACACACAAAACAAGCGGUGAAUGCUUUGGGGUGGGGUGACUGCGUACCUUUUGUAUAAUGGGUCAGCGACUUAUAUUCUGUAGCAAGGUUAACCGAAUAGGGGAGCCGGAGGGAAACCGAGUCUUAAUUGGGCGUUAAGUUGCAGGGUAUAGACCCGAAACCCGGUGAUCUAGCCAUGGGCAGGUUGAAGGUUGGGUAACACUAACUGGAGGACCGAACCGACUAAUGUUGAAAAAUUAGCGGAUGACCUGUGGCUGGGGGUGAAAGGCCAAUCAAACCGGGAGAUAGCUGGUUCUCCCCGAAAGCUAUUUAGGUAGCGCCUCGUGAAUUCAUCUCCGGGGGUAGAGCACUGUUUCGGCUAGGGGGCCAUCCCGGCUUACCAACCCGAUGCAAACUGCGAAUACCGGAGAAUGUUAUCACGGGAGACACACGGCGGGUGCUAACGUCCGUCGUGAAGAGGGAAACAACCCAGACCGCCAGCUAAGGUCCCAAAGUCAUGGUUAAGUGGGAAACGAUGUGGGAAGGCCCAGACAGCCAGGAUGUUGGCUUAGAAGCAGCCAUCAUUUAAAGAAAGCGUAAUAGCUCACUGGUCGAGUCGGCCUGCGCGGAAGAUGUAACGGGGCUAAACCAUGCACCGAAGCUGCGGCAGCGAACGUAUCACUUAAAGCGAUUCAGCGGGUUACGAUUGACGGAGCGAAGCGACGUCAAAGCGUAUACAAAGUCGAGUCGGUUUAAGGAUACGUUCGUUGGGUAGGGGAGCGUUCUGUAAGCCCGUGAAGGUGGCCUGUGAGGGUUGCUGGAGGUAUCAGAAGUGCGAAUGCUGACAUAAGUAACGAUAAAGCGGGUGAAAAGCCCGCUCGCCGGAAGACCAAGGGUUCCUGUCCAACGUUAAUCGGGGCAGGGUGAGUCGACCCCUAAGGCGAGGCCGAAAGGCGUAGUCGAUGGGAAACGGGUUAAUAUUCCCGUACUUGGUGUUACUGCGAAGGGGGGACGGAGAAGGCUAUGUUGGCCGGGCGACGGUUGUCCCGGUUUAAGCGUGUAGGUGUGUGUUCCAGGUAAAUCCGGUUCACUUUAACACUGAGGCGUGAUGACGAGGCACUACGGUGCUGAAGCAACAAAUGCCCUGCUUCCAGGAAAAGCCUCUAAGCAUCAGGUAACAUCAAAUCGUACCCCAAACCGACACAGGUGGUCAGGUAGAGAAUACCAAGGCGCUUGAGAGAACUCGGGUGAAGGAACUAGGCAAAAUGGUGCCGUAACUUCGGGAGAAGGCACGCUGACACGUAGGUGAAGUGAUUUACUCACGGAGCUGAAGUCAGUCGAAGAUACCAGCUGGCUGCAACUGUUUAUUAAAAACACAGCACUGUGCAAACACGAAAGUGGACGUAUACGGUGUGACGCCUGCCCGGUGCCGGAAGGUUAAUUGAUGGGGUCAGCGCAAGCGAAGCUCCUGAUCGAAGCCCCGGUAAACGGCGGCCGUAACUAUAACGGUCCUAAGGUAGCGAAAUUCCUUGUCGGGUAAGUUCCGACCUGCACGAAUGGCGUAAUGAUGGCCAGGCUGUCUCCACCCGAGACUCAGUGAAAUUGAACUCGCUGUGAAGAUGCAGUGUACCCGCGGCAAGACGGAAAGACCCCGUGAACCUUUACUAUAGCUUGACACUGAACAUUGAGCCUUGAUGUGUAGGAUAGGUGGGAGGCUUUGAAGUGUGGACGCCAGUCUGCAUGGAGCCGACCUUGAAAUACCACCCUUUAAUGUUUGAUGUUCUAACGUGGACCCGUGAUCCGGGUUGCGGACAGUGUCUGGUGGGUAGUUUGACUGGGGCGGUCUCCUCCUAAAGAGUAACGGAGGAGCACGAAGGUUGGCUAAUCCUGGUCGGACAUCAGGAGGUUAGUGCAAUGGCAUAAGCCAGCUUGACUGCGAGCGUGACGGCGCGAGCAGGUGCGAAAGCAGGUCAUAGUGAUCCGGUGGUUCUGAAUGGAAGGGCCAUCGCUCAACGGAUAAAAGGUACUCCGGGGAUAACAGGCUGAUACCGCCCAAGAGUUCAUAUCGACGGCGGUGUUUGGCACCUCGAUGUCGGCUCAUCACAUCCUGGGGCUGAAGUAGGUCCCAAGGGUAUGGCUGUUCGCCAUUUAAAGUGGUACGCGAGCUGGGUUUAGAACGUCGUGAGACAGUUCGGUCCCUAUCUGCCGUGGGCGCUGGAGAACUGAGGGGGGCUGCUCCUAGUACGAGAGGACCGGAGUGGACGCAUCACUGGUGUUCGGGUUGUCAUGCCAAUGGCACUGCCCGGUAGCUAAAUGCGGAAGAGAUAAGUGCUGAAAGCAUCUAAGCACGAAACUUGCCCCGAGAUGAGUUCUCCCUGAGACUUUAGGUCUCCUGAAGGAACGUUGAAGACGACGACGUUGAUAGGCCGGGUGUGUAAGCGCAGCGAUGCGUUGAGCUAACCGGUACUAAUGAACCGUGAGGCUUAACCUUACAACGCCGAAG